rnacentral:sRNA from 1 species
AUAUCUCUCAGUACGGGAAGGAUGAGAAGCUUCGACCAAGGUUCGAUUCGAGCGCAGCGAGAAAGCGUUGCCGCAGGCAACGACCCGAAGGGCGAAGCGCGCAGCGCUGAGUCAUCCUUCCCCCACCACCA